rnacentral:rRNA from 1 species
UACAGAGGUCUCAAGCGUUGUUCGGAUUCAUUGGGCGUAAAGGGUGCGUAGGCGGCGCGGUAAGUCGGGUGUGAAAUCUCGGAGCUUAACUCCGAAACUGCAUUCGAUACUGCCGUGCUUGAGGACUGGAGAGGAGACUGGAAUUUACGGUGUAGCAGUGAAAUGCGUAGAUAUCGUAAGGAAGACCAGUGGCGAAGGCGAAUCUCUGGACAGUUACUGACGCUGAGGCACGAAGGCCAGGGGAGCAAACGGG